rnacentral:rRNA from 1 species
UACGUAGGGUGCAAGCGUUAUCCGGAAUUAUUGGGCGUAAAGAGCUCGUAGGCGAUUUGUCGCGUCUGCUGUGAAAACUGGAGGCUCAACCUCCAGCCUGCAGUGGGUACGGGCAGACUAGAGUGCGGUAGGGGAGAUUGGAAUUCCUGGUGUAGCGGUGGAAUGCGCAGAUAUCAGGAGGAACACCGAUGGCGAAGGCAGAUCUCUGGGCCGUAACUGACGCUGAGGAGCGAAAGCGUGGGGAGCGAACAGG